AAAGUGACUGUCACAGAGAAGAAGUACAUCGUGUGUGAAUCGCAGUUGUUGGCAUUAUUUUCACAUUGCCCAGCCUGUCUUAAUAAGUCAUAUGUUUCCAAAACUACCGUAGGCAGUAUGGUGCAAAUUAUACAAACUUGCACAUUCUGCUGGUAUAGUCAUAAAUGGAGCAGUCAGAAUAUUAUCAAUGAUAUUCCCAUAUGUAAUAUUCUGAUUUCUGCUGCAAUUUUGUCAAGUGGCCUACUUCCCAAAAAGACGUUACGUUUUUUUGAAUUUCUCAACAGCCAGAGCAUAUCUUUCAGUACUUUCUUCGAUCACCAGAAUCGCUUUCUCUUUCCAACAAUUAACAUGAUCUGAAAAAAAUAGCAAUCAGAAAUGUUUCUCAUCUCAAGUCUCUUAACAAGGAUCUUAUAUUAGGUGGCGAUGGAAGGUGUGACAGUCCUGGAUUUUGUGCCAAAUAUUGGUCGAAUGCUGUAAUGGACCUUGCUCAUAACCAAGUGUUAGAUAUUCAGCUCGUCCAGUCCAACGAGGUGAAAGGUAGUUCAUACAUGGAGAAAGGGGGACUUGUUAGAGCCAUGACAGCUUUACGUGCAAGGAACCUGGAAGUUGGUCUAUUUGUUACAGAUCGUCACACAGAAGUUACAAUAAGGAUGAAAGAAGAAAUGCCCAGAACUAAGCAUUGGUUUGACAUUUGGCAUGUAGCAAAAAGCUUUCGUAAGAAACUAGAUAAAGCUACAAAGAAAAAGAAUGUCAUUUGAUUGGUGAAUGGUCACGUAGCAUGAUAAACCAUUUGUAUUGGAGUGUCACAUCAACAGAGGACAACAAAACAGAAAUUAUGAAGGAAAAAUGGUUGUCGCUGGCUAGACACUUACACAAUAUAAACAUACAGGGCAUGGAAAGAACUAAAAGAAAUGCUCUCAUGGCAAAAUCAAAAGGAAAUGGUUCAAACAUGGUAGUAAAGUUAGCAAAAAAUUACUUAGCAUUGUUGAAAAUAAAACUCUGUGUAAAGCAAUUUGUAAUCUAUCGCCAUGCUACCCAACUUCUAACUUGGAAGCAUUUCACAGUCUAAUCAAUCAAUUUGCUCCAAAACACACAGCAUUUUCAUACAAUGGGAUGCUUGCAAGGUUACAACUAGCAGCACUACAUUAUAAUGAGAAUGCUAUACGGAAACAAGCAAAAUUCAAACAAGGCAAACUGAGAUAUAGUAUCUCCUUUCCUUAGUUCAAGAAAGGGGGACACACUAUCAGAAAAAUAAAAGAAAAAUGUUCAUAUUAAUAUGCCAACAAUAUAACACAUCAGGUCUUAGAUGCUUGUGACAGAUUACACAGCAACAGCCUCCUCCAACAAUGGCCAGUCAGUUCGAAAGGCCAGUAAAAGAGGAAGCAAUAAAACUGCACAAAAGUAGAUUUAAUAACAAAGGAACUAAUAAACAAAUUAAUUAAUUAAUUAUAUUUUAAUGCCAACAUAAUGUAAUGUCUGUGACGGAAAGGUUUGUCUGAUUUUACAAACAGCACAUGAAGGUAAUACAACUCUCACUUUUCUUCCUAAACGUUGCCAGAAUCAUGAAACUAACUGGCAGUGUGCAAUAUGACAAAGUUUACUACACAGCAAUAAUUUAAUAAUUUAGUCUUUCAUGUACAGUCUUACUUGUAAAUUGGACCAUUGUACGAAGCAUUUCUACUAUAUUGCUGUAAAUAAUUAUAGUUAGCUGCUUGUAGUACCCAGAUGUUGAAGCAGACAUUGUUGAAACAAGGAUGAUUUGUUAUUCAUGUGACAGACCCUGCAGGCAUUUCUUGCAUUUUCCUGUGGAAUAUCAUAACAGCAUACACACUAUCUUCCAUUUGGCAUUAUUUCACAGUGGCCACAUCUACACCUGUAUCAGCUUAAUGUCAUGAUUACUAUAAUUCUAAAAAUGUUUACCAAUUUAAUGUCUGUUGUAUAGGGUUAGGUCUAGGAUCAUCAGAAUCCGCAACAUCUGAAGAAUUACAACUUUCAGAAGAAUGCUCAAAAGUUGGUUCUGGUUCAUACAGAAAGGGCUGAAGACCAAAAUCAGUCAUUUCUUCUUCUUUCUCUGCAUCACUAUCAUCUGAAGACCUACUAUAGACUGCCAUCUUAAAGCUACUGUUCCCCCUUACACGUAGCAUGAAGAUUCUUAUUGACCAUGCCCACAACAGGAAGUUAAGUUAACAAAAUAGCCGAUGAAGAGUACUUUCAAAUUUACAUGCUAAAUUUCUCCUUAUAAAGUACAUAUUUUAAAGUAAUUUUAUUUUAAAAAUUGAGUUAUAAUAUAUAUUCAAUAUUAUGGAACUGAU
rnacentral:lncRNA from 1 species